AUGCGCCGCGGCGGCCUUGCUGGAGCUGCGCGGUGCUGCGAGCCGUGGGGAUCUCGCCGGAGAUGCGUCGUGCUGCGAGCUGCAGUUGAUCUCGCCGGAGAUGCGCCACGGGACCCGAGGAAGAAGAAGCUGGGGAUCAUUCGAAACCGGAGUACUGCACUAAGAGGUAAGCAGUGCAAGAUGCCGUACCUGUCGGACCUUGAAAGCAAUGUUGAACUACUGCAGCAGGAGACUAACUCACUACCUACAAGAGUGCAGUCGAUGGAGGUUUGUAAUUCUGCUGACUUAUUACAUGAUCAUGAGCAGAUGUUUUAG
rnacentral:rRNA from 1 species